rnacentral:rRNA from 1 species
GAUAACAUUCUGAAAAGAAUGCUAAUACCGCAUGACAUAUCGGAACCACAUGGUUCUGAUAUCAAAGAUUUUAUCGCUUGAAGAUGGACUCGCGUCCGAUUAGUUAGUUGGUGAGGUAACGGCUCACCAAGACCGCGAUCGGUAGCCGGACUGAGAGGUUGAACGGCCACAUUGGGACUGAGACACGGCCCAGACUCCUACGGGAGGCAGCAGUGGGGGAUAUUGCGCAAUGGGGGCAACCCUGACGCAGCAACGCCGCGUGAAGGAUGAAGGUUUUCGGAUUGUAAACUUCUUUUAUUAAGGACUAAAAUUGACGGUACUUAAUGAAUAAGCUCCGGCUAACUACGUGCCAGCAGCCGCGGUAAUACGUAGGGAGCAAGCGUUGUCCGGAUUUACUGGGUGUAAAGGGUGCGUAGGCGGCUUUGCAAGUCAGAUGUGAAAUCUAUGGGCUCAACCCAUAAACUGCAUUUGAAACUGUAGAGCUUGAGUGAAGUAGAGGCAGGCGGAAUUCCCCGUGUAGCGGUGAAAUGCGUAGAGAUGGGGAGGAACACCAGUGGCGAAGGCGGCCUGCUGGGCUUUAACUGACGCUGAGGCACGAAAGCGUGGGUAGCAAACAGGAUUAGAUACCCUGGUAGUCCACGCUGUAA